rnacentral:rRNA from 1 species
CCUACGGGGGGCUGCAGUGGGGAAUAUUGCACAAUGGGGGAAACCCUGAUGCAGCCAUGCCGCGUGUGUGAAGAAGGCCUUCGGGUUGUAAAGCACUUUCAGCGAGGAGGAAAGGUUGGCGCCUAAUACGUGUCAACUGUGACGUUACUCGCAGAAGAAGCACCGGCUAACUCCGUGCCAGCAGCCGCGGUAAUACGGAGGGUGCAAGAGUUAAUCGGAAUUACUGGGCGUAAAGAGAACGCAGGCGGUUGGGUAAGUUAGAUGUGAAAGCCCCGGGCUCAACCUGGGGACUGCAUUUGAAACUGUCCAGCUAGAGUCUUGUAGAGGGGAGUAGAAUUCCAGGUGUAGCGGUGAAAUGCGUAGAUAUCAGGAGGAAUACCGGUGGCGAAGGCGGCCCCCUGGACAAAGACUGACGCUCAGGUUCGAAAGCGUGGGGAGCAAACAGGAUUAGAUACCCUAGUAGUC